AACAGGAAUUCCAGAUGGUAGAAAUUACUUUUAAAUUAAACCAGUUAAUACAGAGUGUAUGCUUAUCUAAUUCCCCUUUUUAAGUGGUGAGGAUACAACGCAAAUGGGUAAAACUGAUGUGCAGCGAAGGUAUGCAAAACAGUUUGAGAUGGCAGAAGGUUUUUCUUUUCUCCUUUUUCUGAUUUACUGUCCAUGAAAAUGAAUUAUAGACCUGCGAAGAAAACAGAAGUUUUUAUUUGCUGAACUCAAUGGGCUCCUUUCUGGGGACUUGAACUUUGCAAAGUGCUGAAAAAAAGAUUACUGCAUUCCACUGACAGUUCUUCUGUUUGAACCAAAGGGAGGACAGUGCGCCGUGCUCUGCUUCCCAAAGGAACCACAGCGCUCUUCUCUGUCCCUCUGCUGCCUCUUGAUAAAUGACACAUCCCAGCCUUGGUUUAAUUUUAAGCAGUUCCAACCAGUGAGUGUAGGAGAUACGCAGCGCAUUGCAGGUUUGUUCCGUGCAGGAAUCAUGGAAUCAUAGAAUUGCUCAGGUUGGAAAAGACCUUCAAGAUCAUCGCGUCCAACCGCAACCCAACCGUACCACCCUAACUAACAGCCCUCUGCUAAAUGAAAGCCUUUAUCCAACAGGAGGUGGUGUAAACGGGCAUCAUUUCACUUACAUCAGUGGAUACGCAUGAAUUUGCACCAGCUGAAGACUUAGUAGGGGCUCCCUUGUUUUCCCAAAGUGAUUUUGCUUUUGCCAUUUGAGUAUUUGAUUAUAAGGCAACUAGUUAGUGCUAAGGGGGAAUAUGGUCGGCUUCGCUGGAAAGUAUAAAAGUAUCCACUGUUCCUUCAGGGAAAUCAUUUUAAUAGAUAACAGCAUGUUGUACAACGUUUCAUCAGCGAUAUUUAGAUCUAAAUUAGGAGCAGUUGUGAGAUGGGUUGCCGAUUUUCUUGUGAUAAAAGGGAAAUAGUUCAAGAAAUACAGACCAGAUGUUAUCUUAAUCCGAUCCUCAUGUACGAGAGCACACUGUGAGACAGUAAUAAUAGUCCCUUCUACCUGUUUCUAAUUUUCCUUCUCUGCAACACCCCCUGUGAAAAACAGAUUAAACCAACACAUCAUUUACGGAUGGGCGCUGGGCGGGUUGCAGUCCGUAUGGAAUGCGGCUCGGAGCGGAGGCUGCAGCCGCUGUGCUGUGAUGCUGGUGUGACGGUGCUGGGUGAGACAGCAGCCCUCCGUGAUUGAAAAGGAGAGUAGUCGGUUUGGGUUUGAGUCGGGCUCUUGGUUCAGCAUAUCCCUACACGGUUUCAAAUUUGUCAUCGGCGUUUCCAGGCUGUAUAUGUUACACAACCCUCAGCAGACCAAAAAAGAGGGGGUUGAUCCUCAGCUGCUGUAAAUCAACGCUGAUCCAUUGAUUUAGAUGGAACUGCACUGAUUUGUACCAUCUCAUGGUCUGGACGAAGUAUAUUAACUUUCCCCAUGAAAAUCCUUCGCAACAAAAAGCUCCAUUCACAGUCCUGGUGGAUAAACAGUAAUUAAUGUGUCUCUGUUCUCAUAAUAAUGUUUAAUACCUGCAUCAUUUCCUCCUUGCUGGAGCAGUUGAAACAUUACUCUUUGCUUUGACGUAAGAAGUCGAGUGCUGCGCAUUUGUAAUAUUUGGGACAGCUUUCUCCGUAACUCUCCAUCUGACCUAAAACUUCUGCUUCAGUGCUAUAUAUGGGGGGGAAUGGUUUUAAUCUGAGACGGGAGGCUUAGGUUGGAGAUGAGGAGGAAGUUUUUCCCCCAGAGGGUGGUGACGCACUGAACAGGUUGCCCAAGGAGGCUGUGGAUGCCCCAUCCCUGCAGGCACUCAAGGCCAGGCUGGAUGUGGCUCUGGGCAGCCUGGGCUGCUGGUUGGCGACCCUGCACAUAGCAGGGGGUUGGAACUGGGUGAGCACUGUGCUCCUUUGCAACCCAGGCCAUUCUGUGAUUACUUCUAAGAAACACAAACCUAUUGUCAAAGUGAAUUGGGAAGGGUGCAUGUGCAAGCCUGUGGAACUGUGUCCGUGCUUAUUUUCCUGUAGUUUUGGUUGCCUUGGUAGGUUAUCAGAACAAGAUUGUUCCAAGGGCUGCAAAAGCCUCUUAGGGCGCUCAGGGCAAUGGCCUUGAUGCUGGUGCUAAGUGUUCAUAGUAUCCUAGAAUGGCCUGGGUUGAAAAGGACCACAAAGGACAGGCCUCAGUGAUGGCUGUGUCUCCCACAAGCAGGGUGGGGUGCUCUUGCUUCUACAGCAAUACAUGGAGGAUUUUGUUUGUUUAAUUCUCCUGCCAGGUUGUGAUAUGGUAUGUCCAGG
rnacentral:lncRNA from 1 species